CCACUUCCAGUUUCUGUGGCC
rnacentral:miRNA from 1 species